rnacentral:lncRNA from 1 species
UUUUCUUCAGCUAGAUGUCUUUGCAAUUCUGAACCUCCAUCAUCAGCCUUGACUUCUUGAAGUUCUUUUCCACUUCUCAACAUAAUGGUACUUACAUUUUGCUUGGGAUUUGCCUCGGUUUGGGAUGGCAACUUUCCUUGAGCUUCUAGCCUGUUUAUGGAGGUGGCCAUCUGUCCCAUCUGUUGUUGCAUCAUUUGCAUAGUCUUCACUACCUCAUCAAGAGUGUUAUUGAAAUUUGGAGGUGCUGGUUGAGCUUGAUUUCUUUGGUAGUUCUGCUGGUUGUUAGCUC